UACACUUUAAGCAUGCACUGUUGAUUGUAUGUCAGUUACAGCUCAAUGAAACUGAAAAGAAAGGCCACAGGGAGAUACCACUACCUGCUCAUAAGAUGGCUCAAAUUUUUUAAAAGGCUGGAAAGCCACUUGUAACUUUCAUACCUUGCUGAUGGGAUGGUUCACCCAUUUCUCUGUGGUCCAGCAGAGAAGCAAAGGUGGUUGUCCACACAUGGGGCUGCUCUGAGCAUUUAUAGCUGAUUCGUUCUUGAGAGCCCCAGACUGGAAAAAACUCCAGUGACCAUCAACAGGUAAAUGGAUAAACAAAGGCUCUUCAUCAGUUGUAGUCUUGAGUACAUACACUUGAGCUUCUUUUCCUCUUCAAGUGGUAGAUACUUGAGUAAAGAGUUGCUACCUAGUCUUCAGAAUUGAUCAUGGAAAGCUGUACUAACAUAUUCUUGACCAUCCAGGUAAACAGAUCAUCUUCUGCUUAUUGGCCUGUAGUUUAUGAAGAGGAGGAAUGAGUUCAGUACAGUCUAGGGGUUCCCAAAAGUGGUGAGUUUAAAAUUUGAGUGUGACUUUUUCCAUCUGGUUUUGUGAACACUCAGUUCAGCGGUGAUAUAAGCACACCUUGAGAAAAUUGGAGAUAAGACACUGGUAACCUUGCAGGAGCUUUGGCAAGUGUUCGUUCAGCACUUUUCCCUUAUUGGAUUUCCCAAGUUUGUUUCUAGAUGGUUAGGACUCCAUGGGCGAUUAGGGGAGAGGAAGGGCUUACGUGUCACUGGUGAAUAAGCAAAAUGACUUCUUACUCUGUUCACCCUAAUUUCUUAACCCAGAUUGAAUACGAUUGGGGGUAAAGUUAACACUUGAACAAUACCAGUGUUAACUGAAAAACAAAGUUCUUUCUCAAUCCUGCUCCCACAACCAAAAAAAGGAGACGUUUUUCUAAUAGCUUUAUUAAGGUAUGAUCACAUACCAUAGAGUCUUUUAUGUAAAUGUGCAAUUCAGUGUUUUUCUAGUAAAUUUGCAGAGUUGUUCGACCAUCACACAAUUCAUGGUCUUUGAUUCUUCUUCAUGCCUCUUUUUCUUCCCCUUCCUGCUCCUUCCCCUUCCUGCCCCUCCCCUUUUUGCUCCUGUUAAUCUUUGUAGUUUCUCAUCAGCAUCUCUAAUGUAGGGAAAUGGAGUGACCCCAUGCUCAGCCACUCCCAGUCACAUUUUGGGGGAGAUUCACCACCCUGUAUGCUGGGCCCUCCACGUGGGUGCAGAGUCAGGAAUGGAGGCCUGGCCACGCUGCUUUCAGGGUGAGCCUGGGAGCCCUCGUAUAUCUGUUCAUGUUUACUUUUGUCCCCACUGUACAUGUUGUCAGGCCAGUCUCUUCAGCCUGGUCCUUGUCUCCUGCCCCUCUCGGUAGUCCUGCUUCCUUGCCUUGCUGUGCUCUCUGAGGAUUGGGGGUCAAAGUGAAUCCUUUGCCAUCUGUAGCUGUUGUGUUAGAAAUGACAGGUGCUGCUCAGACUGCGGUUGACCUUUGGGAUCAUGAGGGCCCAGAAGAGGGAGUGGUCUGCCCUGCAGAGGGAAAGCUUUUGUGAGCAGUGUUCCUUGAGUUCAGGAAGGCAUGCUGCUGGGCAAAGAGGUGGGCAUGGAGCGCUACACUUGGCUUGGUGUGGAGGAGAGUGGGUGCGGGCAAGGGUUGAUAUGCCAUGCCAGGGGCUCGGGCUGGAUCCUAUAGCGUCAUGGAGCUGCUGAGGGGAUACUGUGACCUCGCUUGAGAGGAAGGGCCCUUAGAUGGCGGGUAGACCUGGCAGAGUGUGGACAAAGCCAGAAGGGGAGCUCCGGCAGAGUGCCUUGUGGUCAGAUACGUGCCUGUGCACGCUGGCGCAUGUGUAUAAAUGUGAGUGUGUGAACUACAGUACCAGGCAGCCAGAGUGGCCACUCCUGCUGGGACAUGUUGACUGCACUGGAUACCCUGUUGCCCCUGAGUCCUCAUAAGGAAUUAUGGCUAGAGCAGACACAAGUUCUGUCUGUGGUUUUUGUCAGGGCCCGUGAUCCCCCAAGGCUGAGGCAGGGCUCCUCUCUGCUGGGAGGUAUGGGUGGAGUUGGUGCUGGUCAGCAGACCCUUUGGAGACACUGCCCUGAGAGGGAGGGUAAGAGGCUCUGCAGAAAGGGAGAGGCCCCACCAAAGCAGCAUGCACAGAGGCUGGAGGGAGCAGAUUCUGGGCAGUGGCUCUCAACUGAGGGGCAUUUGUGGUUGUUGCCCUGGCAGGGUGGUCUUGCAGUGUUGCCGGGAUAGUCCUGCCCGCAGAGAAGGGUCAUGACUCCCAGUUCUGCUUGUUGGGACCCGGAACAGAGUGUGGCCUGGAAGGUGUGGAAGGGCAGCGAGUCUGGCUGAGUCUUCAGGGCUUCAUUUUCCAGGUCUCGGGGCCCUGCUUUCAGGGGGUCUUUGAACUCUUCUUGGCAGAGGAGCUUUCCUUGAGAGCAGCAUCCUGCUUCCUCUAGUAAACAUGGGGAUGCUGGGUCCUGGGAUCCCAUGGCUGGGAAAGGAUCGUUGUGCCUGUUUGUAUGUGUUAGUCUGGUAGCAGCUUGUGAGCUGGAUUACUGAGCCAAGCCGGCUUCUUUGGAUCUCUGCAGACUGUUGCCUGGAUGGCUUCUAGACCUAGGCUGCUUGCUGAGCUCUGCGGGUAGCCCUUUGUCACAACUGAGGAUGGCACUUUCGUGUCUGCUUUGCUCCUUGCAGAGCUCAGCUGCCAGGGAUGCCAGUGACUUUGGGGAGGUGGCUCUCCUCAUCUUGGAGUAGAAGGCAUUUGGUCAGAACUGUGCUUGCCUUCCGUCACUCUUUUUGAGUGCAUGGCUCCUCGGACUCCAUGGAGGCCACCUUGUCCAUCUAUAUUGUGUAAAAACGUUGGUUAUGGAUUCUCUGCAAGUAAAGAAAACAAACCCGGCAUAUCCAUCUCCUCAGUUCAGCAGUUUUGUCCUCUGGCCCUUUAUUCUCAUCGCAGAAGAGCUUUAAAACAAAUCCAACAUGUUAUUUCAUCCUUCCUUCUGAGGUUGAGCCAUAUGAGUUAGCAAUACACAAUCAUUUUGACCUAUAUUUACUAUGCGUUUCUAGAAACAAAAAAGCAUCUUUCCAUCAUAGGCAAUACUGCUGUUGUCAGAUGAACAGCACUGACAGUCGUUUUUUGGGAUCAUCUAAUGCACAGGGCUUCCCUUUCUCCACAGAUUCUUCACUCAUGAGAAAAUGUCUUGACUUGGUCUGGCCCCCAGUAAGGUCCACCAUUUAUGUGAUGGUUAUGAAUCUUGGCUUGCUCUCCAGGGCAGCCUCUCCCUCUUCUUUUCAUGCCACUGAGCUGGGGUCCAGUCUGUGUCAUUGUCCUGUGAGGUGUCCUGGCUUCUGGACUGAACCCAUCAUCACACCCUGGCUUCUCCCCGCAGGCGUGGAGUGGGGUCCUUUGAGAGUAAUGAUCCCAGGGCUGGACAUGUAGAGGCAGCCCAGGUUGAGGUGGGGAUGCCUCGGACACAUCAAGGACACUCUGAGCAUUGAAAUGAACCAUAGGCCUGGACUCAGCAUGCUGACCAGAACAAGGGUUCACUGUAAAGAGGGAGGCCGGUGAGGAUCCUUUUUAUCCAGAAUCUGGGGACCACUCUCUUGAGUGGGACCGUGUGAAGGCAUUUUCGUAGGUCAGAAAUGGUUGAAUGUCAGCAGUUACAUGUGGUUAAAACUAAUGGAUUAAAGAAGGCUAAAGAGACAGCAUAAGUAACGAGUGUUAACUAGGCCUUGAAUGUAGAAAACUAGAAAGGACGUUAGGGUGUUGGGGAAUUGCGCUUGUACUUAUUAGAUAGCAGUAUUGUAUCAGUUUUAUCAGCAUAAUUCCCGAGCGUGAGGCUUGUAUAGUGAUUACAUGGAGAAGAUGCUUGUCCUGGGGCUUGCGACUCUGAAAUGGGUCAGGAAAGUAAAAGUGUGUGUGUGCAGAGGGAGAGAGCAAGCAUGGUAAAAAGUGUGAGUGGCUGGUGGAUCCAGGCGAUGGUUAUGUGAGUUGUUUAUUCCCUGUAGUUUUGAAACUUUCUCAAGAGCUGGGGGGAGGCCAGAACUUCUGUUAGCUUUUUCCAGAGGUGAGGCUCAGCCUCUCCUUACCCUGAGGGAAAGGUGAUUGCCCACUCUCUUUUUAUUUAAACCUCAGGAUAAAAAAAUACUUUUAUUGAUGAGAUGAAUUAUUUUACAUUUCAGUGUUUAUGCUUUUCAGUGUGAAGAUGUAUUCAUUUAGCCUACACUAUGAGGGCUUCCUGGGGUGUGGCUCAUUUCUAGGUCCUGGGGUCAUAGUAGGGACCCCUGCUUUGGGGCUCCACAGAUGGAAUGGGGGAGGCCUCCCUGGGAGGCGCCCUGUGGACUGAGACCCAAAGGACCAAGAGCCAGCUGUGCAGAAACCAAGGGACAGUGAGUGCAAAGGCCCCAGAGCACUGGCAGACUCCGAGACUGAGGGACUGAAAGGUCCAUUUCAUGCUGCGUGGUACAAUGCUUAUGAGGUUUGGAGUAAAAAUCUGUGGUCUAAAAGUUCUUACCAGCACAUUUGGGAGUGCUUUUUGAAUUUACAUGCUUUUCCUCUGUGGGACUGAAGCAACCUUUCUUCCUGCUACUCUGAUGUACACAGUGAAUUCUGUAGUUGCUUGUAUGAAACUGUCCCUGGGCAGAAAACAUCUGUAGACCUUUACCCAGAGCAGAGGCGAAGAGGGAACUGUUUCCCCAGUGAUGUGAUGCCUGGGAGUGGGCUCAGGGUUCCUGUGGGUGCAGGGGGGUGCUGUCUCUCUGAGGCUUGCAGGCUGCAGGGGUCCUGACUGGAAGUGAGGGGUUGAUAAUCUUGGAGGACCUCAGUCCUGUUCUGGCCAAGGACCCUUCAUUCCUCCCGUCUUGUCACCUGGCAUGGAUUGUGGACCUUCUCUGUGCUGGGCACUCUCUAGUUAGAGCUUUGUUUUAACUAAUUUAAUUAUAGUUUCUAAGGUCGGAUGUAUUUUGAACUUAAUGUUUAUCUUAAAACUUUCCAGAGAGUAGAGGGAGAAACUAACAACCCCGCUAUAGAAGUCAGUUUGUGUUGUGGCCAGAUCGUAGCUGGGCAGGAGUGGGGCUGAGUGGGAGCUGGGAGUGUGUGCGUGUGUGUGUGUGGGGGGGGGGGGGGGCACGUAUACAUUAUACGUUCCCUAACCAGGAGGCUGGAGGGCUACUGGGCCUUGGAGAAUCUGGACUGUCUUCUCUGGCCCCCCAGCUCUAGUGGAGGUGUGGAGAGUCUACCUGACCUUGUAUCUGUAUCAUAUUGUCUCCCAAGAGUUCUGAGAGUAGACCUACAUUUCUUUCCCCAUUAUUAACCUGAAGGGGUAAGUGUGCAGGGUGGGUCCCCAUGUGGCUGGUCAGGAGGUGUCCUCUGCUGGUUCAGGCCUUCCCCUGGUGAGGGGAGGUGAACUGUGGGAUCUGAGGCCCAGAUGAGGCAGGAAUGGGUAGGAAGAUGGCACCCAGGUGGUAUGCGCUUUUCUGUAUUACUCUGUGGACCAAUUUUGAUGUUUCAGGACAGUAAAGCUUCAGAUAUCACCAAGGGCAUUUCUUUACACGUAAAAGCUUAUGCAAUCUAAUAAGAUAUUUUAGGAGUUCUUCUAGAUAAGGAAUCUGUAAGCAUUUUCUUAAAAGGCUAGAUAGUAAAUGUCCUAAACAUUGUGGGAUAAGAAGUAAAAUUGAGGAUAUUAUUAGGUAUUUAACCCAGCUGUUUAUAAAUACGGGGGAGCGCCUGGAUGGCUCAGUCGGUUAAGCAUCUGACUUCAACUCGGGUCAUGAUCUCAUGGUUCGUGAGUUCAAGCCCCGCUUCAGCCUCUGUGCUGACAGCUAAGAGCCUGGAGCCUACUUCAGAUUCUGUGUCUCCCUGUCUCUCUCUGCCCCACUCGCACUUGGUCUCUGUCUCUCUUUUUCAAAAAAUAAACAUUAAUUUUUUUUUUUUUUUUUUUUUUUUUUUUUAAAUAUGAGUACCAGGGUGCCUGGGUGGCUCAGUCAGUUGAGUAUCCAACUCUUGAUUUUGACUCAGGUCAUUGUCCCAGGGUCAUGGGAUCAGUCUCCAAACCUACUUAAGAUUCUCUUCCCCACCCCCUGCUCAUGCUCUCUCUUUAAAAAAAAAAAAAAAAAAAAAAAAAAAUGUAAAUGCUAUUCUGAGCUUGAGAGGGGGAGCUGCAUGCUGAUUCCUUCCUGGACCACCUUCUUAGCCUUCUGAUGAUCCUGGGUGGUGGUGGUUUGUUUGUUUGUUUGUUUGUUUUUAAGUUUAUUUUGAGAGAGGCAGAGCAUGAGAAGGGGAGGGGCAAAGAAAGAGAGGGAGAGUCCCAAGCAGGCUCCAUGUGGUCAGUGUGCAGAACCCAACCCGGGGCUCAAACCCAUGAAACCAUGAGAUCAUGACCUGAGCUGAAAUCAAGAGUCAGAUGCUUAACCAACUGAGCCACCUAAGCUCCCUAAUUCUGGGUUUUAAGGUGUUUUUCUGCUGAGAUUGGAUUGGAAAGAUAGCACAUUUCUCUUUGGAAAGAUGAAAGCUGAUCAGAGUGAAGUCAUAAAAGGUGUCAAUACGCAUUUAAGCUCAGGAUACCAGAUCUAUGGAAAGAAUUGUUUGUUUUUUAAAGUUCAUUUAUUUUGAGAGGGAGAGCAUGAGCAGGGGAGGGGCAGAGAGAGAGGGAGAGAGAAUUCCAAGCAGGCCCAGCAUGGUCAGCACAGAGCCUGAUACAGGGCUUGAACCCAUGAACUGUGGGAUCAUGACCUGAGCUGAAAUCAAGAGUUGGACGCCUUACUGACUAAGCCAUCCAGGCAUCCCUGGAAAGAAUAGUUUUAGAUCAAGUAAAAAGUUUGCCUUCCAUAAUAUUCUCAGAAACCUUGUUACCUUAAAUAGUUGAGGAACCUGUUUACUGACUUUAAGAGUUUAAAUGGGAUCAUAGAUGUCAAUUUCUUUCUUUCUUUCUUUCUUUCUUUCUUUCUUUCUUUCUUUCUUUCUUUCUUUCUUUCUUUCUUAAUUUUUGAGAGGACAUGAGCAGGGGAGGUGCACAGAGAGGGGGACAGAAGAUCUGAAGAGGGCUCCAUGCUUACAACAGAGAGUCCGAUGCGGGGGCUCAAACUCAGGAACCUUGGGAUCAUAACCUGAACUGCUUUAUCAGUCAAGCCACCCAGACACCCCUGCAGAUGUCAAUUUCUAAUUGCUGCCUUCUGCAGCAUGAGAUGCAUACCUCCUUCUCUGCCAUAAGAUGAAAUCCUGGUGCCGUAACCUGGCCACACACUUUCAGAAAACCAACACGUGUUGGGGCACCUGGGUGGCUCAGUCGGUUAAGCGGCCGACCUCGGCUCAGGUCAUGAUCUCGCGGUCCGUGAGUUCGAGCCCCGCAUCGGGCUCUGUGCUAACGCUCAGAGCCUGGAGCCUGUUUCAGAUUCUGUGUCUCCCUCUCUCUGACCCUCCCCCGUUCAUGCUCCCUCUCUCUCUCUCUGUCUCAAAAAUAAAUAAAUGUUAAAAAAAAAAAAAUCUCUUAAAAAGAAAACCAACACGUGUGUGCCUAACACAGUCAUACUAGGAGACAUUGCGAGCCAGCAGUGCUGGCCCUGGGUGGCAGCCUCACAGUAGCAUUGCCACUGCAUGUGUCAAGAGAAACAUUGCCAAACAGGUGACUUUUUGAAGUGAUAGCCAACGAUCAGAAUUUCAAAGCACCUCAACAAAGAAUGUAACAAUCUAAUUAAAAAUGGGCAAAGGACUUCAAUAGACAUUUCUCCAAAGAAGAUAUAUAAAUGACCAACAAGCACAAGAAGAGAUCCUCCGUUUCAUUAGCUAGCAUAGAAAUGCAAAUCAAAGCCACAAUGAGAUAACCACCUCAUAUUCAUUAAGUUGGUUGUUUAAAAAAACCCAGAAGAAUGAUAAUGAGUAUCAUCGAGGCUGUGGAGAAAUUGGAACCCUUGUGCACUGUUGGUGGGAAUGUAAAAUGGCAUAGUCUCUGUGGAAAAUACUAUGCAGUUCCUCAGAAAAGUUAGAUAUAGAAUUACCAUAAGAUCCAGCAAGUCUGCUUCUUUUGGGGUAUAUCCCCAAAAGAAUUGAAAGCCGGAACUUGAUGAGAUCGUUGUAUACCAUGUUCAUGGCAGCCAGAAGGUGGAAAAAACCCAAGUGCCCACUGAAGAGUAAAUGGGUAAACAAAACGUCUGUCCAUACAGUGGAAUGUUAUUCAGCCUUAAGAAGGGAAAUUCUGACACAUGCUACAACAUGGAUACAUCUUGAGGACAGUAUGCUAUGUGAAAUAAGCCAGUCACAAAAAGACAAACACUAUGAGACCAUUUAUAUGAGAUCUCUAGGGUAGUCAAGUUUUCAGAGAAAGUAGAAACGUGGGUGCCAGGGGCUCAGGGGGGAAUGGAGGGUUGGUAAUGGAUACAGAGUUUCAGUUUCAGAUGAAAAAGUUGUAGAGAUGGAUGUUGGUGAUGAUUGUAGAAUAAUAGGAAUGUAUUUAAUGCCACUGAGCUGUACACUUAAAAAUGGUUACAAGGGGGAGGGGGGGUGUCUGGGUGGCUCAGUUGGUUAAGCAAUCCAGUUCUUGAU